AUUAAGAUGUCUGAAUAAAGUAGUAAACUGUAAAUUUACUUAUGAGUAAAAAUUUAAACUCUCUUAAUA
rnacentral:tRNA from 1 species